GAUGAAGAACGUAGCGAAAUGCGAUAAGUAGUGUGAAUUGCAGAAUUCAGUGAAUCAUCGAAUCUUUGAACGCACAUUGCGCCCCCUGGUAUUCCGGGGGGCAUGCCUGUUCGAGCGUCAUUACAACCCUCAAGCUCUGCUUGGUAUUGGGCCCCGCCAGUUCUGGCGGGCCCUAAAGUCAGUGGCGGUGCCUUCCGGCUCCGAGCGUAGUAAUUCUUCUCGCUCUGGAGACCCGGUUGUGUGCUUGCCAACAACCCCCAAUUUUUUAAGGUUGACCUCGGAUCAGGUAGGGAUACCCGCUGAACUUAAGCAUAUCAAUAAAGCGGAGGA
rnacentral:misc_RNA from 1 species